rnacentral:rRNA from 1 species
GACGAACGCUGGCGGCGUGCUUAACACAUGCAAGUCGAACGGAAAGGCCCUGCUUUUGUGGGGUGCUCGAGUGGCGAACGGGUGAGUAACACGUGAGUAACCUGCCCUUGACUUUGGGAUAACUUCAGGAAACUGGGGCUAAUACCGGAUAGGAGCUCCUGCUGCAUGGUGGGGGUGGGAAAGUUUCGGCGGGCGGGGAUGGACUCGCGGCUUAUCAGCUUGUUGGUGGGGUAGUGGCUUACCAAGGCUUUGACGGGUAGCCGGCCUGAGAGGGUGACCGGGCACAUUGGUACUGAGAUAGGGCCCAGACGGCUACGGGAGGCAGCGGUGGGGAGUCUUGCACAAUGGGCGGACGCCUGAUGCAGCAACGCCGCGUGCGUAAUGACGGCCUUCGGGUUGUAAACCGCUUUCGCCUGUGACGAAGCGGGAGUGACGGUAAUGGGUGAAGAAGCACCGGCUAACUACGUG